GCCCCCUACUGGGGAGGGAGCCACAAUCCGGGCAUGUGUCCUUAACUGGAAUUGAACCCAGGACUCUUCAGUCCGCAGGCUGACAUUCUAUCCAUUGAGCCAAACCAGGUAGGGCCUUUUGUAACUUUUAACAUUCUUCCUUUACCUGUUGCACAUCUUCAGGGGCCUGAUAUCUAGUGCUCAUUUCCCCACCAGAACUCUAAACCAACUGAGAGAGAAGAGUACUCGGUAGACAGAGAACGAAGUGCCAUCUUUAUUACAGAGUUCACGCUGGAGAGGACAGCGAGUCCUGGAGCUGCAGAUAGUGGGCUUCAGACCAGUGAGCCCCGUGGGGACAGAGCUGCCCCGAGGCAGGUGCCCUGCCCACCCACCCGGCGCCCGCUAUCCCCACGCGCUUCAGCACAGGGCACGUGCUCUUUGUAAGCUACACCAAAGAUUAAAAAAGAGGAAGCACAGAGCAGGUACGCCCAGUUCUGCCCAUCUCCCACUUCACAUAGGUCACUGCACCUCCAAAGGGGCAUCGCUAAGGAGUGUCACCCCAAUGAGGCUCAGUGCACAGGGAAGGAAGCAAGAGUGUGUGUGUGUGUGGGGGGAGGGGGUACCUCCUCCUCAAACCUCUUUUAAAAAUAUAUUAAAUAAUGUUAAAGUUCGUAGAGCUGACAUAAUCUACCCAAGGUCUCCAGCCAGCAUGUAGUAGAACAAAAUCGAAACCAGAUCCUCUGACUUCUGAUUCUUGCCUCUGGCCUGCACUGCCCGCUGCCCCAGCACGAAUAGGGGCAGAGAAAUCAGACAGGUGAGGGGAGAAACGAGGCCCUGGAUCCUGGAAGCAGACAAGCCCUCAGGGCCCUCAGGGAGUACGCAGGUGAUGAGAAUGGACAUCCUGGAAGGAACCACAGACACUUUUAUGUCCCUUGGAAGAGACCACGUUUUGACUCUCUGCUCAGGAUCCCGUUGUCUGAGAUCAGCCCCCGCCGCCCUGUUCCUGCCCCAGCCAGUUCUCCAGCAGCUCCUGCCAAGUGUGUAUAUGUGUAUGCCUUCCGAGGGGCCGCCGCCCUCCAGGCCGCACUUGAUCGCACCCAGGGCGGGUGUGUGUCUGCGCUGGGCUGAGUCCCUUCCUCAGAAACCAGCCUGAGACCUGGAGGAGAAGGAUCCAGUCUCAGACUAACCAGGCCUUUGAAGGGGAGACAAGAACUCAGGAGCUAGACAUGGAUAUCUUCUCCCAGGGCAAGAUGAAGGACAGGGAGCAGGACGGGGGGGAAGGCAAACACACGCAAGACCAGCCAAUGGGAGACGGAGAUGAAGUUCCCGCUGACUGAGGGCGGCCGCGUCCUGCCCUUGCAUUUGUGAGACACCACUCUCUCCUUUCAAAUGAAAACAGGUUGUGGCAUCUUGUGACCCAGAGCUCUAAACUGUAUCCUUUGGGAAGGAACCAUAUGGUCACGUUGGGGAGACCUUGUUGAGGUGGAGAAACUAUGCCGCUGAAAGUGGCGGAUGUGAGUGCAUGGUCGCGUCUGCUCACCAGUAGUGA